CUUCAUUCUUAUUUCUCCUCCAAUAUCAAUCAUUGAUAGAACUGUACUCUCAGACCUAUAUAGGAAAUUCAGGUGUCCAGCAGUCUAAUUCUCUAUUUACCUAAUAGGAUUAUGCUCCUAUUACAAAACAUCACUUAAUUGCAAAACAUCACUUUAGCUUAGUAGUUAGGAGGCAUUAGACAACUGUUUUGUAUCUGUCUUUUGUCUUCAAUAAAACCUAUAUGGAAAUCCUAUGAAAUUUGGUCAUUUUUUAUAUUAUCUGCCUAGAGACUGCCUAGGAAGGAACAAAGGCUUAUCACUAGAUUUGCCUACUGUUCCCUACUACUGUUUGUAAAUACUAACUAUUCAAGACAGCAUGACAAGGCAAAAUCCUUUCCUGGAUUUGCCUAAUGGAUGAUGUUUCCCACUCCAAAACAAUGUUCAUUGCCUUUCACAGAAUUUUUGCACAAUGCAAAAAUUGACUACUAUGUGUUCCUCUAUAGGCUCAAUGAACCAACACUGUCUGCAGUAAAAGGGAGAAAACAGAUAUGCUUUCUUACACAGUCUCUUCUCUUCAUACUCUGUCCUCAAGGAGAACAAGCUAUGAAGUCCAAAUUAACAUACAUGUGACAGAUAAACCUUUAGGUAAGGGCUAAGACUGGGUUGGUUGGAGUUUCUUGGGUUGUUUUUGUUUUUUUUUUUUUUUGUUUGCUUUUUUGUGUAUGUAUGUGUCACUGGAGUUUUUUGCCUGGGGAGAUGUGAUCCCUUACCAGGUUAUAACACUAUCUUGUGGCUCCCCUGUCAGAAUUGACUAUGCCAGGGAUUAGCUGCUUCCCUGACAAAUGAUGGCCAGCUCAGGGCAUAUCUCUGAGAGCCUUGUAUAAGGAGCAACUUGCAUCCUGAAGAUGCAAAAACUCAAUAUUGUCUUUCAUUCCAAGCCAGGAUUCACUUCUACAUCUUUCCAGGAUAGAAGAGCAGAGGUUCAAAAGCGCUUCUUUCAGUGCUCGUCAUCUAAUCUCCAGAACUGUACUGAUGGGAUGGAAGGAUGCUCUAAACAUCUCUCCUCUGCAUCUAGCUCUAUGAUGUCUGUCAGUGACAUGAGAAAUAAUUACAUUACUUGCAAGUGAAAUAUGAAGAAAGGUGAAUGCAGUGGCAAAGGACUCUGAAAAUGCAUCCUGUGCCUUACUGACAGAUCCAUGGCCUAUUUAAAACCAUAGAGUAGUCUGGGUUGGAAAGGAUCUUUAAAGGUCAUUUAAUCCCACCCCCUGGAAGGAGCAGGGUCAUCUUCAACUAGAUCAGGUCACUCAGAGCCCCAUCCAACCUAGCCUUGAAUAUUCCCAGGGAUUCAGCAUCUCCCACCCCUCUUUGAAUAGUCAAAGACACAGACACUAUGGAAGGAGCAUAAAAAUGGACCAGGCAUAAAGGGAUUCUUCUCUAAAUGUGCCCUUCCAGCUUCUCACAAUGGACAGUUCAGGAAAUUUCUGAGCCAGAUCUCAUAGCUAUGUGUUUCUGGUGAUGAACAUUUUCCUUCUGUUAAUGUGACUCCUUGCUUUCCUGAAUGUAAUGCUGUGUUACCCUGCAGUAACAAGUUCAAGGGGUUAAUUAUAUGUUUUGUACAAUGAUAAGGGCGUGAAAGCUUCUGGAAUCAAAGAACAUAAUUAUA
ensembl:lncRNA